rnacentral:antisense_RNA from 1 species
CGUUUCUAGUAGGCCAAACUCCCAGGUGACCCCCGCAAGAAACGCGGUCCGGAGAAGGUAUGGCCCCACUGCUGGGGCAAGGGCUCUAGGCGCCCGGACCCCACGCCCGCAGCCUGCGGAGAACGUGCCGACAAGGACCUAGAGGGCCCCGCUCUCCCUCCUCCCUCCCUCGGCGCAGCCCGGCCCAGGGGUCUGUCCUCCCAGGCCCGGGAAAGGAGGAAACCCACUUCCGCCGCGUCCAUGAUCUCCCGCGGCUUCUCCUGACUCUUGCGGCUGGCGCUGGCGCUGGGCAUCGGGACACGGAACUGGGCAGUGGACACCACCCUCCCUCGCAGGCUUCCAAAGUAAUUUGAAGGCUUUCCCUGACUUAAAGUGGAUGCUGCUUUGGAAAGCACCGGAAAAAUGGAUCCUGUCUUUCUCAGCCAAGGACUGGUCUCUUUUCUCCAGUAUGUUCCUAACAGAGUGGGAGUCUGGCUGUUCCACCAGUACAGGUGCUAAAAGGAUAAUACCAAGGAAAACUACGGGUGGGGGCAGUGAAUGGCCAACAUGCCUAUAAUCCCAGCACUUGAAACCAGGAGUUCAAGACCAGCCUGGGAAACAAAGCAAGACCCUGUGUCUAAAAAAAUUUUUUUUAAAAUUAGCUGGGCAUGGUGGCACGUGCCUAUAGUCCCAGCUACUCAGCUACUCGAGAGACCAAGCUCUGUUUCUGGCAGGAAUCUGACACCACUUAAUCCUUGGGUAGAAACUCCCCCAAGUCUGAACUAUGUGAU